AUUUGUUUAUAUUUUUCAGAAACUAUGAGAUGCAAUCUUAAGACCUACCACAUUCUCAUCCAUCUGAAUCUCACUUGAGCUAGAACUCAUAAACAAUGUACUAGAGCCUCUAAGGCUUUAACGUCCAUCACAAGCGGAAAUGGUGCAGGUAACGGUGAGCUUUCAUUUGUCAACCCGGAGAGCACAUCUGACAUGGUAGGUCGAUUCGCUGCACUAUCCUCCACGCAUAGAAGACCAACUUGAACGCAUCUUAACAGUUGAUCUUUGUUAGUACACGAAUCAGCUAGUGUUGGAUCCAUGAGUUGUAGCCCUGCGCCUUCUUUCCACAACUCCCAUGCCUGAAAUUAUCCAGAUAAUAUCAGUUAAUUUAGGAUGACAGAAUGAUGGAAUAUCAUAGCUAUAUAAUGACAUAAGUAUGGUGAGAUUUGUUUGACAUACAUAUCCUACUAAAUUGAUGGCGCGAUCAUCAUUAUAGAAGCUAUUGUUUCUCCUACCACUUAUGAUUUCAAGCACUAACACUCCAAAACUGUAUGCAUCGGAUUUUGUAGAGAAAAUUCCUUCCAUUGCGUACUCAGGAGGCAUGUAACCACUACACCAUAUAGAAAUGAAUUCUUACUUUAUCUGCAUAAAUCUUCAUAUAUCCAUGGCUAGCUACCAAAAGCAAAAUAUAAGCAUAUAUUGUUGACUUA